UGGGGAAUUUUUCGCAAUGGGGGAAACCCUGACGAAGCAACGCCGCGUGGAGGAUGAAGGUCUUCGGAUUGUAAACUCCUGUCGAUCGGGACGAAAGUCCCUUGCUCUAAUACAGCAGGGGAUUGACUGUACCGGUGGAGGAAGCUCCGGCCAACUCUGUGCCAGCAGCCGCGGUAAUACAGAGGGAGCGAGCGUUGUUCGGAAUUACUGGGCGUAAAGGGCGCGUAGGCGGCUUGGUCAGUCUUGUGUGAAAUCCCUCGGCUCAACUGAGGAACUGCACAGGAUACUACCUGGCUUGAGUUCGGGAGAGGGGCGCGGAAUUCCGGGUGUAGCGGUGAAAUGCGUAGAUAUCCGGAGGAACACCGGUGGCGAAGGCGGCGCCCUGGACCGAUACUGACGCUGAGGCGCGAAAGCUAGGGGAGCAAACGGG
rnacentral:rRNA from 1 species